CACGAACCGGUUGUUAGAUUUUUGAAGCAGGUUUAGGACCGGUUGUUAAGCCGCUUCCCUCAGGGGGCGCUGAGGCUUUGAUGGGCUCUGGCCGGGAAGUGAAGUAAUUCCUCCUCCGGCCGCCGGGGGCGCUGUGCUGCGGGAGCCAUGUGGGCUGCAGCAUGCCCUGGGGACAAGCCCUGUUGCAGCUGCUGCUCCCCUGGCCCUGGGGCUCCCGAUGCUGCCUAGUGGGUCCCCGGAUGCUCCGCUGGGCCUGGGCUGUGUCCUGCUGCUCUCCCCCUUGCCACUACAUCUGGCUGAGCCAUUUUGUCUCUGCAUGCUCCCUUCAGCUGGAGCCAUCAACAUGGAUCCCAACCUGGUGGAAGAACUUCUUUACCUUUCACUGUCAGUUGUAUUUUGGGAAUAAGACAGAACAUCUGCGAGAUGCUGGUGGGCAUUUUGGCAGCAGUUUUUGAACUGCCAAAGGCAUCUUGGAGGAUACUGACAUGCCAGCUAUGACCCAGCUGAUGUUGUUCAUGCCUGUUGCCUUAGCUGCAGAUUCCCCCUAUACAGGCUGGUGCUUCUGGAUCCUACAAGCACAGACUAGUGGGAUCACAUUGUCAUGCAGACCUGGGAUGACUAGUAGUGGGUCCAGAACUUUUACAUGAAGAAGGAGGCAUUCCUGAAAGUUUGUGAUCAGCUUUCCCCCAACACCACCAUAAGGGAGGCCUUUCCAGUUGGAAGUGAGUCACUAUAGCCAUCUAUAAACUGGCUACCGCAGACUGCUACAGAUCCAUGACUAACCAGGUUGGAGUCGGCAAAUCAACUCUUGGGACUGUUAUGGCAGAAAUUUGUGAGGCAAUCAGGAUUGUGAGGUAGCUAAAGGUGGUGGGUACAUGUACCCAAGUGUUCCUGAAAUAAUUGCUGUGUUUGGGAGAAUGGACUUUCCAAACAGUGCCAGGGUCAUUGAUGGGACCCAUGUGUUUAUAGUUUGCCCUCUGCAAGGAGCACGCGAGUACAUAAACCACAAAAACCGCAAAAGGUUCUACUCCUUUGUUAUGUAGGUCACUGUUGACCACAGGGGCAGAUUCAUGGAAGCUAAUGUGGGAUGCACUGGGACCCCACCUUCAUGGACAAGCUGGAACAUUAUUCCUACUGAAUGACAUUGUUCUUCUAAGGGACCCCGCUUAAUCCCAGUUCCCCUGAUUUCAGAGGAUCUGGUAAAAGGAGAUUUGACUACACAUUCAGUAACAGUAGGAUAGUGGUGGAAUGUGCAUUUGACAGACUGAAGUCCCAUUGGUACUGUCUUCAAAACUGUGUUAUCAAUACAGAAAGACCUUUCUGUUGGGAGAAUAUUUUUUUAAAAAGUAACUCAUCAAUGCAGUCUGCAUUAUUGUGGCCUGCUGUGUUCUGCACAAUGUCUGCUGGAUUGGUACACACAGCCAGAAAGUGCACCUGACAUGACUGGUACUGGAUCUACAUGCACAAUGGAAAUCAGGCAUGCUUUGUGUCCCCACCUAAUGAGUUUGCAUGGUUCCAUGCAGGAGGGCGAAUGAAAUGGUAUUUGAGGUUGUGCUGUGUAUGGAUGUGGGGCAGUUGUGGGAUUAAAAAAAAAAGUAUUGGUAUUAUGGAUUAUGAAUUUUGUAAACACACUUUAUUAAUAGUGGCCAUGUAAUUCAACUCCCAGUUUAUAGAUUAUUGUGGAGGAGCGUUUGUAAGUUUUUAUUAUGAAAUUUUUGAGAAUGGGCAUGUGAUGACAUUCAUUACAGCUUGUGCCACUUUUAACAUUACAUAUAAUAAAACUUGCUAUGUA